rnacentral:rRNA from 1 species
GAUGAACGCUGGCGGCGUGCCUAAUACAUGCAAGUCGAGCGAACAGACGAGGAGCUUGCUCCUCUGACGUUAGCGGCGGACGGGUGAGUAACACGUGGAUAACCUACCUAUAAGACUGGGAUAACUUCGGGAAACCGGAGCUAAUACCGGAUAAUAUAUUGAACCGCAGGGGGCAAUAGUGAAAGACGGCUUUGCUGUCACUUAUAGAUGGAUCCGCGCCGCAUUAGCUAGUUGGUAAGGUAACGGCUUACCAAGGCAACGAUGCGUAGCCGACCUGAUAGGCUGGUCGGCCACACUGGAAGUGGGACGCGGUCCAUACUCCUACGGGAGGCAGCAGUAGGGAAUGUUCCGCAAUGGGCGAAAGCUUGACGGAGCGACGCCGCGUGAGUGAUGAAGGUCUUGGGAUCGUAAAACUCUGUUAUUAGUGAAGAACAAAUGUGUCAGUAACUAUGCACGUAUUGACGGUACCUAAUCAGAAAGCCACGGCUAACUACGUG